rnacentral:lncRNA from 1 species
CAAUGGUUGGGAGAGGGUGCCAGCUUCCAUGAAGGGUGUAAUGAAGCAUGGCUUCCUGCAGUUGGCCGCGCUAACUUCACAGUACUGUCGCAGCUUCGCCACCCAUUAAAUUCACGUCCUGGAUUCUUCCCAAAGUUCACCCAGUGGAAGUGUUACCAGAUCUACCGCCCACUUACGCACCUUCUUGGCCCCCGUGGCAAAUGAAAGUGCAUCACAGACAGGCAAAAAGCCUGUGUUUGGGCUAUAUUCUGAGCGGGAGCCCCAAGACUGCAUUAUAGCUUGUCCUCACCAAGUGCCUAGCAAGUACCCUGGAAAUAGUAAGACGACAGAAACACUUGUUUAACAUUCAACAUUGAAAAAGAUGAGUGAAGUCUGAAAUUUUUUCUUCAGAGUAAAGCAAGUCUUUACUUUGCAUAUACA